rnacentral:misc_RNA from 1 species
UGAUUGGUUGCCCGUUAGGCUCAGAGAUACGCUAGAAUACAGGGUUUGAGACCUCCGGCCCCCCGUGACAGAGGGCCGAAGCAACGCCGGAGGGGCCCCGGAGGACUCCCCCCCGGAAAGGUAGGUUCACAGUGGUUUUAGGGAGUUUUUUAGGCUCUCAUUAAUGAUCCCUCCGCUGGUUCACCAACGGAGA